GUCAGCUACUCACAGCAGUUCCUGCAACCUCGGCUGCCAUGAUCUUUUUUAUUAAUUUAGCCAGUUCGUUGAGAUUCGUGGCAGGAUUUGAGCCUCAUACGAGACCCUUCUCCUGGCCUUUGUGGAGGAGUUACCAGGCUUCAGAAAUCCUCUCAUUAAAGAAGAUGCUGGAAGGAGGGUUUCUUGGAAGAGCUAGGCCUUAAGCAAGACUGGGAAAUAUAUGUGGCAAACAAGGAAGAGGAGGAAUCCACUUCAGACAAAAAUGGGUAAAAAUCAGAAGAACAGGGAAUAAAAAUCACACCCACAAUCCUUUCCCACAUCAUCACAGGGACAACUAGACUACAGGAGAAAGAAGAGGUUUGCUUUUGUUUACUACUUUCUGAAGUUGGGACUUCAUCUUCGAAGUGAUGGGAAUCAAGGACAAGGUCACAGGACAAGAACGGCCCAGGGGAUCUGUUGCUGUUACCCAGUGGAGGAGGCAACAGGUGCCAUGGCAACCCAUCUGCAUUCCUCAUCUCUCUCCUUGCCCAUUGUGUCUCCUUGUGGGGCAUAGUAAAUGCAGAGAUCAGCGAGGCUCUGCUUCUAGGCUAAAGGUCAUGGCUAGAAAAGACUUGGAACCAAGCUGAAAAUCCGGCUUCCCUGCCAUAACUCCUGUCAGCUUGUUAAGCACUUCUGUUUAUACAAGUCUUGGAGUGAGCAUUGCUCUCUCAGGCUCUGACAUAGACCCUGGCCUCCAUAGCUUGCUUUCCAGGGAACCUCAGCAAACCACAAAAAGACUCGUGCUAUUUCUUCCUUCUUUACCCAGUGGGUUUUUUUUUUUUUUAAUACAAGACAAUGAACUGUUUCUCUCGAUGUUGAAAUAUCUUCUCUUGCAGAGAAGCUUAGCAGAGAACACAAGCUCCAGCACAAGAGGAGGCACACCCAGCCCAGGCCACUUCUGACCCUGUGUUGAACUCAGUCUUGCCCUUGCCCAAAUCAAGGUCUAAGCCAGUACCUAGAGGAGGACUGCUGGUCUAAUUGCUGAGAAGCCUCCUGCUCUCAAACUCUGCAGUACCCAAGCCUGAAUCCUUCCCUAGAAACAUCGACCUGUCUGAGCCCAGUCAUGCCCACUGCUGAGAGCAGAGCUGGUUGCUCAUUGCUGUGUGCCACAGAGAGGGUGGAUGCUAGGAGACUUACCUUCGAAUGAGGGUUUUAGUUCACAUGUCCAAGCCGUCCUGUGUUGGGCAUGGCGUUCACUCCCCAGAAUCUUGUGGUCACGUGGGAGUGCCUGUAGUGGUGGCAGGGGCAGAUGCCCCUGUGCCUGUCCUUCUCUGUUUGGUGUCUCCAUUCAGACCAUUCUCCUUGCUUUGCUGCCCUGCUCUGUGUUCCCUGAGGAUGCUGGGAACCUAGCUACCAGCUUCCGCUGCUCCUGGCUUCCUUUCUCGCUUGACCUGCACGAGGCAGGGGUAGGAGGUCAGGCUUAGAGGGGCAUCUCUUCCCCUCUAUGGUCUUGCUGCAGUGCUUUGCCCCUAGUGGGGGCCAUGUCCCUCCAUGCUGUAGCUCUCCCAGGUGACCAGGGAGGGUCCAAGCUCUCACCAGACCCAGCUACAU
rnacentral:lncRNA from 1 species